AGCUUUGACAUCUGAUGUGAUCUUGUUAAGCAUCUGUUAGAGAGUCUGUUCGACAGAGGAUAAGGAACAAACACAAUGAUACUCCAUUCUGUCAUUCUGCUUUCUGCAUUUGCAUAUGCAACGUAUGGAAAUGAAAUUAAACCAGCCAAAACAGAGGAGUUUGCUGUCGAGGGUUCAAGUGUUACAUUAUCCUGCAGUUAUUCCUCUGCAUUUACUCUUCACUGGUACCGUCAGUAUCCCGGAUCAGCUCCUGAAUUCAUUUUGCUCAUCUCAAACAGUGCAAAAGACCCUCAGAAGUCUUAUGUAGAUUCCAGAUUCACUACUGAGAUCAGAAAAGAAAAACAAAGUCAUGUGUAUCUGGAGAUCUCCUCUGCUGCUCUGAAAGACUCUGCUGUGUAUUACUGUGCUCUGGAGCCCACAGUCACAGGAAACACUAGAACACUGUACAAAAACCUGACACAACUGAAGGUGUACAACUAA